rnacentral:rRNA from 1 species
UACGUAGGUGGCAAGCGUUUGUCCGGAUUUACUGGGCGUAAAGAGCGCGCAGGCGGCUCGGUAAGUCUGCUGUGAAAUCUCCCGGCUUAACUGGGAGGGGUCAGCAGAUACUGUCGGGCUUGAGGCAGGUAGAGGAAGGUGGAAUUCCCGGUGUAGUGGUGAAAUGCGUAGAUAUUGGGAAGAACACCGGUGGCGAAGGCGGCGCUCUGGACCGAGACUGACGCUGAGGCGCGAAAGCGUGGGGAGCAAACAGG